AUUGAACGCUGGCGGCAGGCCUAACACAUGCAAGUCGAGCGGUAGCACAGAGAGCUUGCUCUCGGGUGACGAGCGGCGGACGGGUGAGUAAUGUCUGGGAAACUGCCUGAUGGAGGGGGAUAACUACUGGAAACGGUAGCUAAUACCGCAUAACGUCGCAAGACCAAAGUGGGGGACCUUCGGGCCUCAUGCCAUCAGAUGUGCCCAGAUGGGAUUAGCUAGUAGGUGGGGUAACGGCUCACCUAGGCGACGAUCCCUAGCUGGUCUGAGAGGAUGACCAGCCACGCUCGAACUGAGAAGCGGUCCAGACUCCUACGGGAGGCAGCAGUGGGGAAUAUUGCACAAUGGGCGCAAGCCUGAUGCAGCCAUGCCGCGUGUGUGAAGAAGGGCAUCGGGUUGUAAAGCACUUUCAGCGGGGAGGAAGGCGGUGAGGUUAAUAACCUCAUCGAUUGACGUUACCCGUAGAAGAAGCACCGGCUAACUCCGUGCCAGCCGCCGCGGUAA
rnacentral:rRNA from 1 species